rnacentral:rRNA from 1 species
AGCAGCCGCGGUAAUUCCAGCUCCAAUAGCGUAUAUUAAAGUUGCUGCAGUUAAAAAGCUCGUAGUUGAAUUUCGGGACCAAUAUGUCGGUCGUGCCUCGGUACGUACUGGCAUCGUUGGUUUCUCCUUUCUGAAGAACCAUGAUGUCAUUUAUUUGGUGUCGUGGGAAAUCAGGACUGUUACUUUGAAAAAAUUAGAGUGUUUAAAGCAGGCUCACGCUUGAAUACAUUAGCAUGGAAUAAUGAAAUAGGACGUUCGAUUCUAUUUUGUUGGUUUCUAGGAUCGACGUAAUGAUUAAUAGGGAUAGUUGGGGGCAUUAGUAUUCAAUUGUCAGAGGUGAAAUUCUUGGAUUUAUUGAAGACUAACUACUGCGAAAGCAUUUGCCAAGGAUGUUUUCAUUAAUCAAGAACGAAAGUUAGGGGAUCGAAGACGAUCAGAUACCGUCGUAGUCUUAACCAUAAACUAUGCCGACUAGGGAUCGGAUGAUGUUAAUUUUUUAAUGACUCAUUCGGCGCCUUACG